rnacentral:rRNA from 1 species
AUACGGAGGAUCCGAGCGUUAUCCGGAUUUAUUGGGGUUAAAGGGAGCGUAGGUGGACAGUUAAGUCAGUUGUGAAAGUUUGCGGCUCGACCGUAAAAUUGCAGUUGAUACUGGCUGUCUUGAGUACAGUAGAGGUGGGCGGAAUUCGUGGGGUAGCGGGGAAAUGCUUAGAUAAGACGAAGAACUCCGAUUGCGAAGGCAGCUCACUGGACUGCAACUGACACUGAUGCUCGAAAGUGUGGGUAUCAAACAGGAUUAGAUACCCUGGUAGUCCACACAGUAAACGAUGAAUACUCGCUGUUUGCGAUAUACAGUAAGCGGCCAAGCGAAAGCAUUAAGUAUUCCACCUGGGGAGUACGCCGGCAACGGUGAAACUCAAAUGAAUUGACGGGG